GAUGAAGAACGCAGCGAAAUGCGAUACUUGGUGUGAAUUGCAGAAUCCCGUGAACCAUCGAGUUUUUGAACGCAAGUUGCGCCCGAAGCCGUUAGGCCGAGGGCACGCCUGCCUGGGUGUCACACAUCGUUGCCCCAAUGCCAAUCGCCUCACUUUGUAGGUAUUUGCUUGGGGUGAAUGUUGGCCUCCCGUGAGCUUUGUCUCACGGUUGGUUGAAAAUCGAGUGCAUGGUGCAUGGUGUCGGGUGUACCAUGAUGGAUGGUGGUUGAGUGAUGAUGCUCGAGACCAAUCAUGGGUAACUCCACCAGAAUUGGGCUCGGUGACCCACAUGCGUCCCUUGGAUGCUCCCUAAGGAGACCUCAGGUCAGGCGGGGCUACCCGCUGAGUUUAAGCAUAUCAAUAAGCCGGAGGA
rnacentral:misc_RNA from 1 species